AGAGUUUGAUCCUGGCUCAGGACGAACGCKGGSGGCGUGCUUAACACAUGCAAGUCGAACGGUGAUCUCGGASCUUGCUUCGGGUGWUCAGKGGCGAACGGGKGAKUAACACGUGAGUAMCCUGCCCCUGGYUYUGGGAUAACCUCGGGAAACCGGGGCUAAUACCGGAUAUGACACGAGCGGGCAUCCSCAUCGUGUGGAAAGUUUUUUCGGCCAGGGAUGGACUCSCGGCCUAUCAGCUUGUUGGUGGGGUAAUGGCCUACCAAGGSGACGACGGGUAGCCGSCCUGAGAGGGCGACCGGCCACMCUGGGACUGAGACACGGCCCAGACUCCUACGGGRGGCASCAGUGGGGAAUAUUGCGCAAUGGGSGAAAGCCUGACGCAGSGACGCCGCGUGAGGGAUGAAGGCCUUCGGGUUGUAAACCUCUUUCAGCGCCGAAGAAGCGAAAGUGACGGUAGGCGCAGAARAAGCACCGGCUAACUACGUGCCAGCAGCCGCGGUAAUACA
rnacentral:rRNA from 1 species